rnacentral:rRNA from 2 species
UAACUGCGAGUGAAGCGGGAAAAGCUCAAAUUUAAAAUCUGGCGUCUCUGGCUGUCCGAGUUGUAAUCUAGAGAAGUGUUAUCCGCGCUGGACCAUGUACAAGUCUCCUGGAACGGAGCGUCAUAGAGGGUGAGAAUCCCGUCUUUGACAUGGACUCCCAGGGCUUUGUGAUGCACUCUCAAAGAGUCGAGUUGUUUGGGAAUGCAGCUCAAAAUGGGUGGUAAAUUCCAUCUAAAGCUAAAUAUUGGCGAGAGACCGAUAGCGAACAAGUACCGUGAGGGAAAGAUGAAAAGAACUUUGGAAAGAGAGUUAAACAGUACGUGAAAUUGUUGAAAGGGAAACGCUUGAAGUCAGUCGCAUUGGCCAGGGAUCAACCUUACAUUUGUUGGGUGUACUUUCUGGUUAAUGGGUCAGCAUCAAUUUUGACUGUUGGAAAAAGGUCAGGGGAAUGUAGCAUCCUCGGAUGUGUUAUAGCCCUUGGUUGUAUACAGCAGUUGGGAUUGAGGAA